UACAUGCAAGUCGAACGCUUCUUUCCUCCCGAGUGCUUGCACUCAAUUGGAAAGAGGAGUGGCGGACGGGUGAGUAACACGUGGGUAACCUACCCAUCAGAGGGGGAUAACACUUGGAAACAGGUGCUAAUACCGCAUAACAGUUUAUGCCGCAUGGCAUAAGAGUGAAAGGCGCUUUCGGGUGUCGCUGAUGGAUGGACCCGCGGUGCAUUAGCUAGUUGGUGAGGUAACGGCUCACCAAGGCCACGAUGCAUAGCCGACCUGAGAGGGUGAUCGGCCACACUGGGACUGAGACACGGCCCAGACUCCUACGGGAGGCAGCAGUAGGGAAUCUUCGGCAAUGGACGAAAGUCUGACCGAGCAACGCCGCGUGAGUGAAGAAGGUUUUCAGAUCGUAAAACUCUGUUGCUAGAGAAUAACACGGA
rnacentral:rRNA from 1 species